GGAAUUUUCCGCAAUGGGCGAAAGCCUGACGGAGCAACGCCGCGUGAGGGAUGAAGGCCUCUGGGCUGUAAACCUCUUUUAUCAAGGAAGAAGAUCUGACGGUACUUGAUGAAUAAGCCACGGCUAAUUCCGUGCCAGCAGCCGCGGUAAUACGGGAGUGGCAAGCGUUAUCCGGAAUUAUUGGGCGUAAAGCGUCCGCAGGCGGUUUUGUAAGUCUGUCGUUAAAGCGUGGAGCUUAACUCCAUUUAAGCGAUGGAAACUGCAAGACUAGAGUGUGGUAGGGGCAGAGGGAAUUCCCGGUGUAGCGGUGAAAUGCGUAGAUAUCGGGAAGAACACCAGUGGCGAAGGCGCUCUGCUGGGCCAUAACUGACGCUCAUGGACGAAAGCCAGGGGAGCGAAAGGGAUUAGAUUCCCCAGUAGUC
rnacentral:rRNA from 1 species